GUGAGGAAUAUUGGUCAAUGGACGAGAGUCUGAACCAGCCAAGUCGCGUGAAGGAAGACGGUUCUAUGAAUUGUAAACUUCUUUUGUGCAGGAAUAAAGUGGGUUACGUGUAACCUUUUGUAUGUACUGUACGAAUAAGGAUCGGCUAACUCCGUGCCAGCAGCCGCGGUAAUACGGAGGAUCCGAGCGUUAUCCGGAUUUAUUGGGUUUAAAGGGUGCGUAGGUGGAUUGAUAAGUAAGCGGUGAAAGUUUGCAGCUUAACUGUAAAAUUGCCGUUGUAACUGUCGGUGUUGAGUGCAAAUGAGGUAGGCGGAAUGUGUUGUGUAGCGGUGAAAUGCUUAGAUAUAACACAGAACUCCGAUUGCGAAGGCAGCUUACUGGGAUGCAACUGACACUGAUGCACGAAAGCGUGGGUAUCAAACAGGAUUAGAAACCCGGGUAGUCC
rnacentral:rRNA from 1 species